rnacentral:rRNA from 1 species
CCUACGGGAGGCAGCAGUAAGGAAUAUUGGUCAAUGGACGAAAGUCUGAACCAGCCAUGCCGCGUGAAGGAUGAAGGCCCUCUGGGUUGUAAACUUCUUUUAUAGGGGACGAAAAAAGGGCAUUCUUGCUCACUUGACGGUACCCUAGGAAUAAGCACCGGCUAACUCCGUGCCAGCAGCCGCGGUAAUACGGAGGGUGCAAGCGUUAUCCGGAUUUACUGGGUUUAAAGGGUGCGUAGGUGGGUUGGUAAGUCAGCGGUGAAAUCUUCGAGCUUAACUCGGAAACUGCCAUUGAUACUAUCAAUCUUGAAUCAUCUAGAGGUAAGCGGAAUAUGUCAUGUAGCGGUGAAAUGCUUAGAUAUGACAUAGAACACCAAUUGCGAAGGCAGCUUACUAUGGAUGUAUUGACACUGAGGCACGAAAGCGUGGGGAUCAAACAGGAUUAGAUACCCUGGUAGUCCACGCCCUAAACUAUGGAUACUCGACAUUUGCGAUAUACUGUAAGUGUCUGAGCGAAAGCAUUAAGUAUCCCACCUGGAAGUACGAUCGCAAGAUUAGAAACUCAAAGGAAUUGACGGCGAGAGAGAGACGACGGACGACGACGGAGGGAGGAGG